GUUCAUUUCACAAAUGACCAAACUGCCAAAUCUGUUGCAGAUUAGACACAGAAGGCAGAGGAAUUACUGCAGCUGUUGUGUGUCAGAUUCUUUCCUUUGACUUUAUUGAAUAUCUGCAGAAGCAACAGAAAAUGGAGAAGAUGAUCUGCAGGAUCCUUCUGUUCAUCAGCC